UGUGGCCGUUUCCUGCAUCUUCUCCCUCUUCCGCUUCUUCUUCUUCCCCUAAAAAUAUACAGAGGAACGCAUAAAGUGUGGCUCCAGCACUCACGCUCACUAGACCACUCGGAUAUCCUGCUGCUGACUGCCAUGUUCACUCAUCCCCUGCUGGGCAGCCGAGCAGCGAAACCCGGCCUCCGCACUCCACCGCAACCCGCAACCCUGAGAGGAACCGAGCAACCGAGUGUCGUCUGCUCCACACACUGCAAAAACUAAACCUUACCCGCUGUUAUCGGUCCAGUUUAGUGUAGAAAUCUCAGUACAGUUUAAAUAAGACCAAACUAACUUACAGGUAACUUCAGCAAGAUAUAGGAGCUGGUUUUACGUAAAUAAUUCUUUAAUAUUGAUACUAAAAAGUGCUAGUUCCAGUGGCUGAUUAUGUCUCGUAUAACAUGUUACAUUUUCCCUUGUUUUAAGUGAAAUAAUCUGCCAGUGGAACUCAAACUUUUUCAUCAAUAUUAAAAAUCUGACUUGCUGACAAGCUACUUGUAAGUUAGUUUGGCCUCAUUUCGACUCUACUAAGAAUGUUUUCCAAUGUGGGCGCCUCAGAAAGUUAGUUAUAAAACAGAAAUUUUUUAAACCAAGUUUUCAAUUGCAUAUAGUUUUUAUCCUAAAAUCUGAUCUGUUACUUAUUAUAACAUUUUAGUUAAACUAACUUAUUGAAAGGUUAUUUGUCGUGCUCGUCUUUCUGAUAGCAGCGCUUCGAUCGCAGUUUCCUGCAUGAUAGACGAUCUUUAAGAAGGGUUAGGUGAUUAGGUGAUCUGCUGAUUCAGAUUUUGGCCAAUAUAAAUGUUUUGGUCGCCCAAAAUUAAGAAAAUCGGGCUGAUUUAUCUGGUACACCCGUCCUUUCUGAAUGGCUGCCAGUCAAAUUUUAGCUGCUUUGCUCUUCAAGCUAGUGUAGCAAGCAGCCAUGGAAACGUUUGUGACAGGAAAGAGGCAGAAGGAACCGUCCAGCAGCCAGAAAACCCCAAGAAUUCAUCACCAGCUAAAACCAGAGGCAGCAUUUGUGCUACACAAAUGCAAUAAUUAAUAAAUUGUGAAUAAAAGAGAAAAAAAAUUCUAAAAGUCGACGUUUCUUCACAUAUUUUGUAGCGUUGUGAGAGCAUUGUCUCUUGGCUAGCAAGUAGCUCCAAGGUCAAAAGUUACUGCUGUUUGGACGGCCGUGUACUAAGAUAUUUGAACCAGAAACUAAAAAUACUUGGUAAGAGUAGCUGUUUGCAAGUCUUUGUCUAUAUUCUCCUAAUGUCAAAAGAACACAUUUUUGCAAUUACUGUUUCCAUUAAAUAAGAAAUUAAAUUAAAAUCAUGCCUGAAUAAGCUUGUUGUAAACAGGUAAAUGAGACGUAUUUAUAAUUGAGCCGUGGCGCUAGCACUCGUCAGCCAAUCAGAGGAGACGCCGGCGUCUUAUUCAGUGGCAAGCCCUGCCUACUGGGAGUGGCUACGUAUGCAGCAUUUUUGGGGAUGAUGUAGUCGGUGAUUUUACAGAUGAGCUAUGGAUUUAUCACGCUGGAAUGAUACAUAACUUUUUAUGAACUGUGUGAUGAUAUGAGCUGCACCUUGACUGAAAACCCCAAAACAAACCAUCAUCCUCCUACUACUUCCUGUCGUCUUCGUGUGAUGCUAAAAACGUGUUUUGAUAUGCCUGAAAAAAAAUUAUCGAAAAACUUUUUUUGUUUUUACGUUUCCAUUGAGCAAAUUUAUUUCAAGUUGCUCCAUUUUAUGGUUAAUGUCAACGCAGCUGGUGUGUGUUUUUGCAGUGCAUAUUAAACUGUUCUGUCUACAUCUGAAGUCGUGAAGCAAUUAAAAUAUUCUCUAAAACUGGAGCAGUGUCCUCUGCAGAAAGCAGCACUCUCCUUCCAGUAAGGACAUGCAAGGAUUUAUAGCUUCAGCUAAAUCCCCAAAGGGGGGGAACUAAAGGUAUAGAUAGCAGAGAGGAGUCGUUCUACUCAAAUAUGAGAAGCACUUUGGUUUCCAGCUGCAAAGUCUGCUAAUCCACUUAUUCAUGAGCUAAUCUGCCUUCUGCCGCUGCGGCAGGCGUCGAGGAGGACAGACCGAGCGAGUGUGGGUGAAAGGAGGGAUGAGAGAGGUGCAGCGCGCCCGAACUGUGUGGGGUUUCCAGGCAAGACAUGCUUCUAGUCAACAGCUGGUGAUUCAGGCAAAGAAUGAGUCAUGCUCUUAUCUCUCUGAUGUGACUAACAGCAAGACGAUCGACUUCUCCUAGGAAAGCUAGAGCAGCAGCUGAUGCUGCGGUUGGGUCGCUCUCAGAGCAGCGGGUCGGCAGCGGAGCGGCGGCGGCACAAAGCAGGGGGUGCUGUCGAUGUCCGAGGGGAGGCAGGUAAACACCACAAAGCACUUCGGUGGUGGAGUGAAGCGCAUGUUGGCAGACGCAAGGCGUAUGUGGAGCACAGCUUCCUCACAUCUCCGCUCCGCAGCGUUAUUUAUAGCCGGUCCCGUCUUCAUCAUCUUCAUCAUCGCAGGAGAAGAAAGCAAAAAGGUGGAGGACGAAACGCCGUUUUUUUCUUCCCUCAGCAUCAUGGAGAAGCUGCCAAGGCCUCCAGCUGUGCGAGGCCGCGGUGCCUCGUCCAAACUGUCAGAGCUGCAGCUUGAUCUUAUUCCUGCGAACCGAGCCGAGCCGAACCGAGCCGAGGGAGCGGCCGGUCGACUUCAAACCAGAUCCCACUUCACAGUGAAGUGACACCUUCGGGUCGGAGCGUCUCUACUCGUUCCUGACAGCGUCGACAGUCAGAAGAAGAAGAAAAACACUAAAGCGUUGCAUAAGUUAAAUAAAAAUUGGGUUCAACAAUGUGUCGCUGCAGUAUUUUUAGCUAGCGCUUUAUUUUCUUUCAGAGCUUGAAGUCUUUCAUCAAAGGCUGCUCGUUUGUCAUCAGACGGCAACUUGGGUUUAUUUUAAGGCCUGAACAAACCGAGAACUCUUUUAGCUGUUUUACAAAUGUAUAAUUGCAUGACAAGUCGUCUAUCGUCUUGUUUUAAUCUAUAAGAACCAUAUUGUAAAUAUGUUUAACACAGUGAUGAGUGAAUCAGUUGGGCCCAAGCUACAUCUCUUCUAUCAUCCUGUUUAUCCGCUCUUAUAUUUUAAUCCUACAUGCCUCGACCUUUAGGUUGUUUUCACACCUGACCUCUCCAAUUGAUGACAAAAAAUGCAUCCUUGUUACAUUUUCAGCUGGUUUGGUUCUCUUUCUCAUUAAACUGUGUUAAAUAAACCAAACUAAUUGAAAAACCUGUUUGCCUCAGCACAGGGAAAUUAUGCAAGGAAAUGACGCAAACGCCUGUAAAGAAGACACUGAGCUCAACUUCCUUCUUCACAAAAUGUAAACAGAAAAGGAGCUAUAUCGUAGUUUAGCAAUUGGAGGAUUUGUCAUUUGUCUUUGGUACAAGACCACGAUCCAUUUGUAGCUAGAAUCAGACUAGCGCAUUUGUUUUGGUUGUAUUUACCCAGAAUGCCCUGCGCAGUACUCCGCUUGGCGGUCUCCGGUCUGCUUGCAUUCACAUUUGCAUUUGAACCGCAUCAGAAUUUAGUUCAACCAAACCCAUAUCGAGGUUUGUAGGUGGACCAGAGCUCGCUACUUUAAUUUGAGUACGCAUUCACUCCUCCCCAAACAAACCGGACAUUCUGGACAAAUGAACUGGAGUUCGAUUAAUGGUGCUUUCACACCUGAUAGUUUGGUAGAUUCAUUUCCAUUGGGUUCCAAAAGUUCAGAGUUUGUUACAUUUUCAUCUGCUCUGGUUCUCUUUCUCACUGCAGGGAGUCAAACCAACCAAACCCGUAGAGCAACCUGUUCCCCUCCUCGCCUCUGGGGGCGCUGCACCAAGAACCUCUGAAGGAAACAACAUAGUUUUGGUGGGCACUGCUAACUCAUUAGUUGGAUAUAUACAUGAAGAGAUGGACAAUAUCAGUCCAACAGGUCCUGCUGUUCAUCCUCUCAGCGGUGGGCUGCUAGCUCACUUUCUUCUGAGAAGAAAACACUGAGCACAAUUUCCUUCUUCUUAAAAUGUAAACAGAAAUUGAGAGGUGUCAGAUUUUAGCAUUGAAGGAUUUCUCCUUUGUCUUUGACUAAACACCACGAACCAUUUCUCCCGCUAGCGCUAGGCUAACAUGUUUGCUUUGGUUUAGUCCCUGUUCAGUCCGCAUCAAUUGGAACCAUGUGUGAUUGAAUUGAAAUGACUUUUUUCGUAAACGCCUUGAGACGAUAUCUGUUGUGAACUGCUGCUAUGUAAAUAAACUGAAUGGGAUGCAUAUUA